ensembl:misc_RNA Metazoa_SRP Metazoan signal recognition particle RNA
CCUGGGCACGGUGGUGCAUGCCUGUAGUCCCAGCUACUCGAGGCAGGAGCUGAGAUGGGAGGAUUGCUUGAGCCCAGGAGGUCGAGGCUGCAGUGAGCUAUGACUGUGCCACUGCACUCCAGCCUGGGCAAAAGAGCAAGAACCCAUCUCUC